AAUUAAAAAAAAAUUAAAAAAAAUUUAGAUCAGCCGGUUUGCCACAGCUGCAGUUGUGCGAGGACAAGUGUUCCCUCUUGGCUUGUUUUGUUAAUGAAUUAAUGAUCUUCUCCACCGUUUCUCUUCCUCGUCUCCUUGUCCUUCUUCUUUGUUUUCUCUCCCCCAGAAAUUUCAAGAUGAUGCUCGGUUUUCAACGGAUCCAAUGGAUGCUUGAUCUCUUCGUCGCAGGGAUUUCGUUGAUGGUGGUUUUGGGGAUCUUCACCUUUGUGGCCUCCAUUCUUUGCUCUGCAGCAUUCAUCCACCAUUCCAAGCUCCCUUCUUAGACGCUCUCAGUACAUGGCAAAAGGUCAAUCCUUUUUUCAAAACUUGGCAGAUUCAUGUUCAAAGGCUUAUCUGAUGAUGUGUAUUUUGCUGCUUCAUUAGAAUAAAUGCUACCAAUCAUAUGUUGUUGAAUGUAGGUUGUAUGACAUAUGAAUCAUGUUGAAUAUGCUCAUCUUGAAUAAUUUAUCAAGAGUUGUGUUAACAAGUCUUGGUUGACUUGUUUGAAAGAUGUAAAUGAUGCAUAAAAAAGAUAAUCCUAAUGUUUGGUUUAUGCUUUUCUUA